AAUCUUAAACCCCCCCCAUGCAGGAAGUGGACGAAAAUGAAUGAAACACAAAACGUCAAUAUCGCUACUUUGUGAUUGUCAUUGAGAAUCUGAGACUGAUUUAUUGCUGCGAUGGGGCUGGAGCCUCUCGAAUUUGCAGAAUGUUUAACAGACAGUCCAUUCUUCCGUGAAAAACUACAUGAUCACGAGAAGGAAUUGGAGCGUACGAGUAAAGCCAUCAAGCUACUGAUAAACGAUGGGAAUAACCUUCUGCAUGUCGCCAAAAAUCUUGGCCUUGCUCAGCGCAAGUUUGCCACCAAGCUGAUUGACUUUAAGUUUGAGUGCAUUGGCGAGAAGACCACAGAGGAUGAAGACAGAAUAGCUGGUGCCCUAAAGGAGUUUGGGAGGCUGAUCGUCCGUGUAGAGGAUGAGAGGGACAGAAUGAUUUCAAAUGCUGCUGACCAGUUUCAGAGGCUGGAAAAGUUCAGGAAGGAACAGCUUGGUUCUGUCAAGGAGGAGAAAAAAUCAUUUGACAAACAGACAGUCAAGAUUUGUCAGUCGAUGGAACGAUACCUAAAUUUGAAGACGAAGGUCAAUGACAACAUGCUACAGGAGGCUGAUGCUCAGUUAGAGAUGGAGUGUCGAGGAUUCCGAGAGGCCUCCAUGAAAUAUGUACUCAAGGUUCAAGAGGUACAGGAGAGGAAGAAGUUUGACUUUGUUGAAAUGAUUUUGGCAUUCAUGUACAGCUUGUUUACAUUUUAUCAUGAAGGAUUUGAAGCAAAGACUGAAUUAAAUGAUUACUCAUCACAACUUCAGAAGAUAUUGCAGAAGACAAGAGAAAGUUUUGAGAUGACCCGAGAGCAGACUGAAAAAUUGAUGUUAAAAACUUUAGACAAUAGAGGAACGGCUGCUGAGAUGUUGAAGCCUGUUAACCAGACGGGGGCCAGUAAGGGAUGUACACGCGAGGGAUAUCUCUACCUUAUGGAGAAGAAAGCCCUGGGUGUGUCCUGGAAUAAACACUACUGCUGGUACAAGAAGGAAAACAAAGAAUUCCACAUGAUGCCCUAUAACCAGGUGGCCGGUAAACUGAUCCAGUCAACAACUGAAAAACUCAUAUUGAAGUCUUGUGUGCGUCGACCAUCACAGUCAAUAGAAAAACGCUUCUGUUUUGAUCUUACUGUGAUGCUACCAGAUAGCAGACAAGAUCAGAUCACGUUCCAGUCACCGUCUGACCAGGACAGGAAGUUAUGGAUGGAUGUGAUGGACGGCAAGGAACCGGUUUAUAAUGCACCAAAGAGUAAUUCAGAUGAUUCAUCCUUGGAUGACAUAGGAUUUGGUUUUAUAGAAAGGUGUAUCAAAUGUGUUGAAGAAAGAGGACUAUUUGACCAAGGUCUGUACCGUGUUGUGGGGGUCAGCUCCAAGGUCAGCAAACUUAUAUCUCUUGGACUGGAUCCCAAGAAAAAGGAUAAGAUAAAUAUAGAAGAUCCUACCCAGUUUGAAAUCAAGACAGUAACAAGUGCUGUGAAACAUUACCUUAGGUCGUUACCAGAACCACUGAUGACAUUCAAAUUUCACUCGGACUUUAUAGCUGCUGCCAAACAAGAAUCCAAGACACUGCGUAUUCAUGACGUUCAUACUCUAGUUCACAAGCUGCCCGAGGCUAACUUUGAAAUGUUGGAGCUGAUGAUUAGACACUUGAAAAAUAUCUCUGAGCAAAGUGAUAAAAACCUGAUGACGGUGGCUAAUCUUGGGGUGUGUUUUGGUCCGACACUGAUGAGGUCUGAGGAGGAGUCUGUAGCAGCCAUCAUGGACAUCAAGUUCCUAAACAUUGUAGUGGAAUUACUCAUAUUUCACUACGAUAAGAUAUUUAAAACGGCACCCGAGGGGGCUGACAUUAGCGAGAUUCGUGUGGUGCCCUCCUCCACAGCCAUGCUGACAGAGAGGCGUGAACCUAGCAGCAAGUUUGUGCCACUCAAUGAUCACAUGAUGAUGGCUAGUCCAAACACUGGACAUGUAUCCCACGCCCCACAACCUAUUUAUGCAAAUAAGGCACCACGUGCCCCGCCCCAAAGUUACCAACCUGGAAAAGCUAAACUACGUGGGGUAGAGGUGUACAACCCCCAAACAGGAGGUUUUGAAAUGGCCACAGGAAGUAGUACUAGUGGAAGUUCUGAGUCACUGAACUCAAGUCACUCAAACCACGUCUCUAAGAAUACCUCUUCGCCUCCAGUCAACAGCCAUCGCAAGGGCCCUGCCCCCCAGGUCCCUGGUCCCACCUACAGCAAUGUCAACGCACUAGCCAACCGGUUCAACUUACACAUGACAGGGUCGGACGUGCCCACUUUCGGAAGCAUCAAGAAAAGAGGUUCCAAUGACUCCUCAUAUUCCACUUCCAUGACAUCCUCGGUACCGAGUAUGACGGGCAGCCUGACAGGAUCUCUGGGAGGCUCCAGCAACUUCACAAAACCUAAGAAGAGAACGGUGCGGACACUAUACCACUGUGAUGCUGAGAAUGACUCUGAACUAUCUUUUGAACCCAACAUGAUUAUUACAAAUGUGCGGCCUUCCAAGGAACCAGGCUGGUUGGAGGGUAAUCUGGACCACAAGACUGGCCUCAUUCCAGAAAAUUAUGUUGAAUAUGUGGACUGACAUAGGCUAAGCACUGGACACAAGCAUGUUGGAGAGCAAGAUUAAUGUAGACAAGAGUCUGGAUGACCAGAAUCAGUACAGGAGCUUUCUGUUUAUGUCCAAAUGCACAAUGUCAGUGCUUGGUGACCUGUUCCAGAAGACUCAGGGGUGGACGCUAGAAUUAUGAACAACAUGGAUGCACCCUAGUCUGUGGAGAGUAGAAGUCUAUUAAUUGUGGCCAUGGAGGUCGGUGAGGAGAAGGCACUAUAUGACAUCAAAGUAUUAAGUAGUUUUAAUUUAGGUACAGUAUAGGGACACACUGUUAGUGUCUAGCUGGCUUUAAGUACAGUUCAAUGUGCGAAGUAGCAAGUCAGCUGUUUAACAACCAAAUCUUGAUUACCUAUAGAAUUGAAGUAACAGUUUAUACAAUUGUUAAAUACUUUUGAAUUUAAUAUCAUAUAAUUUACACAUGUAGCAUUUUGAUCUUUAUUAUGAAAUACACAACACUUAAACAAAAGGUUCCGAAAUAAAAUUGACCAUUUCUGAGAAAGAUUUUUCGUAUAAGGCAGGUUUCCUUUUACAACCAUAAGUGAAAUACUUAUUGGAGCAAAUUCAUAGAGACUUGAAUUAUUGAUCAUGUCAUUAUCUGAUUUCAAAGGGUUAAGUCAUAACCAGCAGAUGUUUAUUAUCUAUUGAAAUCAUUUUGAUGUUAGUGUGUAUGUUUAAAUCAAGAUCAAUAUGUUACAAGAGACUAGCAAACCCUCAGCAGCUUUUGGAGUACACCUUUGGGGUACACCUUUGGGUACACUUUUGGAGUACACCUUUGGGGUACACUUUUGGAGUACACCUUGUGGGUACUCUUUUGGAGUACACCUUUGGGGUACACUUUUGGAGUACACCUUUUGGGUACUCUUUUGGGGUACACCUUUGGGGUACUCUUGGAGUACACCUUUGGGGCACACUUUUUGAGUACACCUUUUGGGUACUCUUUUGGGGUACACCUUUGGGGUACUCUUGGAGUACACCUUUGGGGUACUCUUGGAGUACACCUUUGGGGUACACUUUUGGAGUACACCUUUGGAGUACUCUUUUGUGGUAAACCUUUGCACAUGUGUAGUGUGACUUGCACAUAAAAGUACCACAUCCUCAUCAUAGUUUAAUGAUAGUAAUUGAUCAAAUUCUAAACUGUAUUUUUUUUUUAAACUUGCACAAGUAUCAACUAUGUCGAUUUAUCAAAGUGCAAUACAUGUUUACUGUACAGGCAAUAACAGAUUGAUGCAGUACUGAUAUGUGUACUAGCUGUAAUCUGAGUGAUUAUAAUGGCAUUAGUGAAUCGUUUUAGAAGCAUUAUAUGCUGCUAACCCACUGAUUCUGUUUAUAACAUAUCAUAAACAACUGUAAUUAUUUAUAUAUAAUUUAUACAUUCAAAUUAACAAAAUGAACUAGUUAAGUAUAAGGGCAGGGUACUCUCCAAGCAUAAAGUAUUAAAAUAAACUACUUCAUUGGUCCAGAAAAUAAUAUCAUUUUCUCAAUGCCAGAAAUCGUCUGUUUUUCUGAUAAUGUUUUUACCUACUGAAAAUAAAAUGUUAUAGGAUGUUGUCACAAUAUGAAAUGAAUUAAAGACAUUUAGCUAAUCUUAAGAUGUCUUAAAUGAAACAGUGCUAUCUUGUUUCAUAAAUCUUAUAUAAAAACUCAUUAACUAUUCUAUACAUGUAUAUGCAGUCUUACCAGAUCUGGUUACUUAGUAUGUACCACACACAAACCCUGGAGACUUGUGAAGAAGAGUAUUAUUACUGACCACUGUGAUACUAGUACUUGACAGUGUUUUUAUAUUAUUUACUAACUUUAUACUCAUCAGUACAGGCUGUAUUGUACACAGAGCUCUAAGGUGUAUUGUGAGAUAUGUAAACAUUUAUUUACUGAGAUUUUACCCCAAAAACUUAAUAUUACAUAUAUAAAAUAUAAUCAUUAACUUAAAUAUAGUUCUAACUUAAGAUUUAUUAGUAUAAACUGCACAAUGGGAUUCAUUAAUCACACCAGGCACAAAUCCAGUAGAAGUACAUAUUGUAAACAUGUCCGGAAUAGAUCGGACAAUCACGUGGUAUUAUAUACAUGUAGUAGCUACCUUAGGUAUGGCAAGUUACAUCCAAAGGCUUCUGUAACCAUGGUUUUUAAUUGAAACAAACAUUUGUGAACUUGUUACACAUUAAUUAUAUACACUGUAUAGCACUUGACUAGAAGUUUUAGUAAUACUACUGAGUGCAUUCGCAGCCUGAACAAAAUGUAUACAAAGCAAAUGUGUUGCCAUUUCAAUAGAAAUAACUUUGCAACAACAUUUGACUAUCGGGCGUAGCUAACCCUUGGUCGGAGUGCAUUCGUUUAGGAGCAGGUACAGGGCAGGGCCUUGGUAGACGGACAAAGGGGUACAACAAGCAGUGUUUUUAUUUCAUUCGUUUUUCUGUUUGAAAAUUGAGUGGUUUCACUGGUGUACCAGUGUAUAGGCAGCUGCGCGCCUGACUAUUAACUGUGUUCCUCAACUUUUAACCCUGGUUUUAAUGGUGAAGUUUUUAUCAAGUGAAGUUAAAGCACUAUACAGCAGAACUAUUAAUUAGAAGAAAAGAAAAAAAUUACUUGGAGAGCCUACAUCCUCACAAUAGGGUUUGAUAGAGCAAGAUCAGACUUUGUUGAUUUUACCUGAGGUUUUAAAAAUGUGAUUUUAGAGAUCAGUGAAAUACACUUUUAAGGAGUAGGAAUUGAAAAGUUACAAUGUAUGACUCACUAUGGUUUUAAAACAGUUCGAAUUCUGGUAGUUCAAUAAGAUUUAUUGAUACGUUAAUAUUACAGUUUGAGCAAGUUGUCUCCCUUUGAUUUUUUUGUUUGGUUGAAUGUUAACAUUCCAUUGAUAACUAUCCUUUCCUACCUCACACAUCAUCAAUGGUCUCUGCUGCAGUCAGUCUAGACUGUGCUAUUGUGGAGUUUAGGGGUGGUCAGGUUAGUUUAAGAUUUUGAUUUUUACCAAGGGCAGAAAUGAUACCAGAUAAUAAAAUCUAAAUCGUAGCAAGCUAAUACUUAAAUUUAAAUUUGGAUUUUUAUGAGAUUAUGUUUCUUUUUAAUUUUUACUUGAUAAAAUAUGUCAUUUAUAUUGCAUAGUACAUUUACUAGUAUACGAAAAAUAAUUGUUAACGUGAUGGAUCUUUUCUGAGGACACUUAAUGUAUGACUAAACAAUUGUAUUAAGGCAAUACAUCAGGUGUACUUCAUAUCCAAUUGUUGCAUUAAUUACUGCUGUGUCGGCUAUUUUCAUGAUUUAUGUCUCCAUUGAUCACAAGUAUCAUACUCAGUAACAUUCUGUUAUGUUGGAAAGGAGAAGAGUUUGUGUUGUAAGACUGAAAUAAAUCAUUGUUAUACCUGAUAGAUGGACACAGAAAUUGUAGCCUGUUUUUAUAUACUGGUACAGCAAAGGUAUCGGAGAGCUUAAUGUUUUAUCAACCUAUACAUAAUUAAUGGAUUCAAACAACGGAAGGAUAAGAAAGGUGACUGAUGAGAGGCAUUACAUUUAUACCGUUGGAAAGUCACAAGAGCAGGUUAGCUACAUGUCAUCAUAUUUACCAGGAAAUAGAAUAAUGCUCUCAAUAAUUUCAUGAUUAUGUAACUAGCUUGCAUGGAUUAAUCGCAUUUAACCUAAGGUGCACAAAGAAGGACCCAUUAUUUAUUUCACCUAUGCAUAUGUCUGAGAAACAUGACUUUUAUACCAUGUACAUAUAUUUGUUGUCUGUUAGUCCUAACCAAAUGUUGUUGUACGGUCGGAUUAUAGCUUCUCCUCUAGUUAUGGACGUUGUCAAUUUAUUUGUUUUAUAAUUGUGUUAUUUCUACCGUGUACAUGUUUCAGACUUCUAUCAGUAGAUAUGUAUGAUUUACUUGGUGUGUAACAGGUAUCCUGAUACAGGUGCAUCAAAGCAUUGUCUUACCUUAUAGUGAAGAAAAGAUUUACAAUACAGUAAAAUAACAAAUUUUGUCAAUUUAAAGAUUUAUAAACUUGUAAUAGGUCAGUAGGAUAUUUGGACCAGUAUCUACAUCAUAUAGGUCAGACCUUGUAAUGUCAGUAGGUUUUUUGGACCAGUAUCUACAUCAUAUAGGUCAGACCUUGUAAUGUCAGUAGGAUAUUUGGACCAGUAGCUACAUCAUAUAGGUCAGACCUUGUAAUGUCAGUAGGUUAUUUGAACCAGUAGCUACAUCAUAUAGGUCAGACCUUGUAAUGUCAGUAGGAUAUUUGGACCAGUAGCUAUAUUAUAUAGGUCUGACCUUGUUUCUUUAGUUUGUUGUCUAACUUUAUUGUUACAUUAUGUAGACGACAGCAGAAGGUGUUAAGGAAAGUUAAACAGAAGUGUUAAUGUGUCAAAAGCUUAAUUCAAGGUCCAUUAAAUUUACAUUAUCAAAUAGUGACCAAAGAAAAAUCUAUAAAGAUUUACUAUAUUGUUUUAAUGGCCUAAAAUGGUCAUGGCUUCCGGUAACCCUCAUGAGCUCUGGGAACAGAAGCCCAUGCAAUGGGUAAUAUGAUUAAAUUCAAAACCGAUAACCCAAGAUUUUGGUAACUUUUAAAGCAGUCAGUCGCAUAGCUUAGGGGUAGCAUUUCAGGUGUUCAUACAAAUUCCGCCAAAUGCCUGAAACUAAGACAGGAGGACCCUGACGGGGCACUGCCAUCAAAUUUACAAUAUAUUGACGAAACAAAAAUAUAUUUAAACUAUAUCUGUGCAUAUGAAAGUUUAUCCCGUUAAUAGUAUUUAUAUAGAAAUUUAAAUAUUACUUAUAAAAAACGAUUGUGUAUUAAGAUGAAGAUAGUGUGAUUGAAAAUUAUUGAAAAGUAUUACAUGUAUCGAUAAUAGAUUUGAAGAGGUAUAAAGAAUGUAUGUCAUAGUCUUUUUAUCAAAUAUUCAAUCUUUUAUAUAUGCUGGCUUGGGUUACCAAAAAUAUCAGAAUUUUAAUCAAAUAAUCGAUAUUUUACAAUUAAAAUGCACAAUUAUUUAGACUUAAUAUUUCCUUUGAAUGCAAAUGUUAGUUCUUGCAUCAUAAUUAACAGAUUAUUUAUAUGUUUUGCAUUUAUUUAGCUAAUGUUUCAUUGAAAAUAAUCACUCAGUAUCAUCAUAAUGAGAAAAAAAACGUGAACCUGUCUUCCCAAAUGAACCAUUGCUUUCAGUGUGAAUUUGUCCGGUUCUACCUCCAAUGGAUUUGACAAAUAAUUGUAUAAUUUUUGUAUUUUAGUAAUUUUGUCAAUGGACGUUUUGAUUAUCUUCCUUAACAGAUAGACCGACUGCACAUUCCAUAGGACUAUCUCAUUAAUACAGUUGGUUGUUGUCAUUGUAUAUAUUAUUUACUUAUUAUAUUUUUCUUCGGUGCUUAUUUGUUUCACAGUGGAUAUGCUAGGACAGAGAAGCUAUAACCGACCAAAUGUGUUCAUAUAUUUCUAUGUACUGUUGACAUAUUGUAGACGGCAAUGUAUUGUGUAAAAAGAUCAGAUUCUUUUACAUGCGAGAAUUAUACAGGUCAUUCUGUAAAAUUACUCAUUUAAAAUAAAGAAAAGAAGAGAA
rnacentral:misc_RNA from 1 species